AAGGGUAUGGCUGUUCGCCAUUUAAAGAGGUACGCGAGCUGGGUUUAGAACGUCGUGAGACAGUUCGGUCCCUAUCUACCGUGGGCGCUGGAAAUUUGAGAGGAUCUGCUCCUAGUACGAGAGGACCAGAGUGGACGAACCUCUGGUGUACCGGUUGUGACGCCAGUCGCAUCGCCGGGUAGCUAUGUUCGGAAGGGAUAACCGCUGAAAGCAUCUAAGCGGGAAGCCUACCUCAAGAUAAGAUUUCCCUAGGAAUUUAUUCCUCUAAAGAGCCGUUCGAGACUAGGACGUUGAUAGGUUGGAUGUGGAAGCAUAGUGAUAUGUGAAGCUGACCAAUACUAAUUGCUCGUGAGGCUUGACUAU
rnacentral:rRNA from 1 species